rnacentral:rRNA from 1 species
GGUAGUGACGAAAAAUAACGAUACGGGANUCAUCCGANGCCCCGUAAUCGGAAUGAGUACACUUUAAACCCUUUAACGAGUAUCCAUUGGAGGGCAAGUCUGGUGCCAGCAGCCGCGGUAAUUCCAGCUCCAAUAGCGUAUANNAAAGUUGUUGCGGUUAAAAAGCUCGUAGUUGGAUUUGUGUCCCACGCUGUCGGUUCACCNUUCGUCGGUGUUUAACUGGCAUGCCCGUGUGGACGUCCUGCCGGUGGAUGCGGUCGGCCGUGGGCCUCUGGUCUGCGUGUCGGCGGUCCGAUGCAAUCCUACCGCGGUGCUCUUCACCGAGUGUCGAGGUGGGCCGGCACGUUUACUUUGAACAAAUUAGAGUGCUCAAAGCAGGCAGUGGUUCGCCUGAAUAUUGUGUGCAUGGAAUAAUGGAAUAGGACCUCGGUUCUAUUUUGUUGGUUUUCGGAACUUGAGGUAAUGAUUAAUAGGGACAGACGGGGGCAUUCGUAUUGCGACGUUAGAGGUGAAAUUCUUGGAUCGUCGCAAGACGAACCUAAGCGAAAGCAUUUGCCAUGAGUGUUUUCAUUAAUCAAGAACGAAAGUUAGAGGUUCGAAGGCGAUCAGAUACCGCCCUAGUUCUAACCAUAAACGAUGCCAGCUAGCGAUCCGCCGAAGUUCCUCCGAUGACUCGGCGGGCAGCUUCCGGGAAACCAAAGCUUUUGGGUUCCGGGGGAAGUAUGGUUGCAAAGCUGAAACUUAAAGGAAUUGACGGAAGGGCACCACCANGAGUGGAGCCUGCGGCUUAAUUUGACUCAACACGGGAAACCUCACCAGGCCCGGACACCGGAAGGAUUGACAGAUUGAGAGCUCUUUNUUGAUUCGGUGGGUGGUGGUGCAUGGCCGUUCUU